UCCACCUCUCUUCGCCUCCAGCGCCCCCUCCUCCCUCUCGAGCGCCGCCACAGCCGCCUUGGCGAUGCUCCCACCCACCACCCAUGGUUGACGUCGGCGAAGCGGCCCAUCACGCGAUGCUUGGGGACGCCACUUCCCUCCGCCGCCAGCUGCGGCGACCGGCUAGCGUGCGGUAGCCGCCGCCAAAACCGGAUGGCGUGCUGUCCGGCGAGGGGCCCGACUUGCCGCGCGGCAUCGCCUUCUCCACAUCUGCCCGCGGAUCGAGCCCCACGACCUCCAUCCCGACCUGCCUUUCCCUCUUCUCGCUUGUCAGAAAGGAGUGCAGGCCGCUGUUGCCCCACACGAGGUCGUCCUCCUCUUUGGUUUUGCUGAUUCUGAGGCGUUGGCUCGACCUACAGGUUCGUCUCCCUCUCUCUCUCACCCUGGUCUGCCCUAUGAGUUCCCUUCUAUUUCGUCUCUCGUCAUCUCCACAUGAUUCUGGCAUAUCGGAUUGAGUUUGUGGUACCUGCAGUUUAUACCGGAACUUAAUCUUAAGGUCAGGAUUGCAUGCCCUUUUCUCUUGAGCUGAAACGCAUUCAAGCAUGGCUAUUGACCGAGCCCCCUAAUUCAACUAUUCAGGUUGGUUUAUACAUAUUGCUGCGGAAUUACCUUGACUGCUUGUCAAUCAAUUAAACCAUGUGUUUGCCAUGUUGUAGAUAUUACAAGAUUUGUGUGCUAUCUUAUUAUCCAGAUGUGCUUUAGGCCUUUAGCAAAACCAUUUUUGUUAUUAUCCAUUUGGCUGAUUCACAUAAUCUCACAGGUACAGUUUGAUUGGGUCAUGUCUGUAGUUUUUUCCAGUGUUGCAGGUUCAUGUUCUUGGGAAAAAAAUUCAUUGUCUAUUUCCUAUAUUGGUGAUACGGGUGAACUAAUUUGGGUAUUAUAAUGAGGUUUGCUCUUUGGUAAUUUCCUUGUCGGUCUGCGUCAUCCAGGUGAUGUCUCCGACACAGCAGAAUCUUGCGAAGUUAACACUCAAUCUGUUUGCGUUAAGGCAUGAACACUACGCUUUGUUGAUUCAGUGCCACUUAUCUGGUGCAGGAAAAUGCCGAUGUUAAAGCAUUUGGUUCUGAUGGAUCAUAUGACUGUUUCUCAGUUCAACUGAAGAUGGCUCAGAUAGGACCAAGUUUGGAUAUUCAUGUGUUGGAUAGGGGUCGGGGAUGGUUUCCUGCACAAGAGAUAUGUGAAGGUGCAAAUUGAAACAGAAGACUCGUCUAUGAUGCAGCAGCUCAAAGCUGAAGAUUUCGAAGGAUGUCAUAUCUGAGCAGAUAGCUGAUCUGAUUGGGGAUGUUGAAAAUACGGUUGUUGUUAUAAAGUCUUAAAGCUACAUGGGAAGAUCUCGGCAGAUACUUUAAGCCCCAAAGUAUCAAAGGGGAUUUCACCUUCUUGCCAUGCGUUGAGCCGCGGUGGGAGAAAGUGGGUGGAUUUGUCAUUGAUCAGUUGCCAUCUCUUCAAUUGGGUGAACUUCAUCACAAGAAAAAAGCAGCAAUUUGGUCAUAGUAAAUUGGGUGUCAUAUGUUUUCUUGGUUGACACCCUUUUGUUUUCGUUGUGAUUGAAACCCUACAUUUAAAUGACUAGGAAACUUCUCAGACCUAAAUCUUACUUGCAAAAUAUAUUGUAUACUUUUGAGACAGAGUUUUGUCCUCACAAGAUAACUGCUUGUUGUAUUUCACUAUCAGAACAUUUGUUUGGGGGGAGUAUCCUGGCGUUAAGGAUGCUUGGAUGGAAGUGGUGGCCUCACAAAGCUAGUCAUUAUAUUUUCUUGCCUUGAAGUUACUGAUAGUGAGUUAAAUUUUCUUAGUGAUUGCUUGAACACAUUGCUUACCAGCCACCCUAAUGUGUGUAGGCAAGAUCAAAAUGCACAAAUACCUGCUCAGGUAUUUUCCAGUUAUUUUAACUUCUUGCAAUAUGUUCGCUGACUCUUACUCGAUUCAGAUACAGUAUGUUGGCUGAAUCUUACUCCGUUCAGAUAUCUCUCUUCUUUGGCUCUUUGCUUUGGCUCGGAUAUGUCUUCGCAUCAGAAUUUUUCACCACCAAUUAAUUUGCAAGGGCACAUACUAUUUGUAGCAGCCUACAAAAACACAAUUCACCUUAUACAUCUGUAGAAAUGGAUUGUUGCACGAAGUUGUCUCAGUUAGUAGACUAUAUUCGUUAACAUAUAGUUAUUUUUGUGAGAAAGUAAACAUAUAGUUUUUUGACGGAAGUAUACUUAUAUAAUAUUCUUAUUGUUGAGAUACUAAAAACAUUUUGGUUAAUUAUUACUUACUGUGACACUUAAGUAAGUCUUUCGAGUAGGCAAAAUCUAUCAAUUUAUAUUGCCAUAAUAGGCGAUAUCUCAUUCAUGGCAUCAAAUACAGCUUAUUUUAGAAUGGUACAUAUGUAAUGUUUGGCUUCCUUAUAUCAUGUAUGCUUUCCCUUUGCUGUAAACUAAUAGUUAGGUUGUAGUGUUUUCAUUCGCUCUUGGAAGUCAUAUCACAAGCACAUCCGUGGCUAUUGGCCUUGAACAUUUCACCUUCCAUGCAACUCGCUUGCUCACUACCACUUAGAAUCAGUGACAGUGACUUGCCUUCUUACUAUGAUUUUUUUAGAAAACCUUCUUGCUGUGGUUCAGAAGAUGAAUACAUCGCCAAGUUGCCCUUGAUAAUGCGUCUUUCUAUGACACAUAUGACUGUUUCUCCAGCACUGAUUUCAAGCAACAGAAGUUGUGCCAAUGUAUGAUAAAUUUAUAUUUCUAGCCUACUCUGAUGUUAAUGUUGCUGUUUAUACAACUUAAUUAAAAUGGGUCAUCGUCAUGUGUAAAUCUUCUGCUUUUAAUUCUCAUUUUGAUUUUCCACAAACUAUUUCUUUCCGGUAAUUUUAUAUUUCUUAUUGUAUUUACUUCAUGUCGAUUUGGGUAAUCAUGCAUCAUACAAUUCAGAUUUUAAUUGCAGUCACUCUCCUCAUCGACACUCAACAAUGGCCUCUUCUUCCAGUGCCCGAAGCAGCCGCAUACCCAUAUGCCUCGUGUUGAUUCUCCUGAUCGUCAGCCUGCCAGAAGUCUCAGCUGUCAUGCCGGUCGGCCAACAAUGUGAAGGACCAGAUGAUCGUUGAAAAGUACGCGCUGUUCUGAUGAGAACUAUUGAUUUAUUGCAGUACAAUGUUGCCUCUUCAGUACAUCUGUGUUAGCUCUUUCUGUUACUAUCCAUUCUGUAAGCUCUAGGAAAAAGAUGCGGAGAUCAAUGACACUAGAGGGGCGGACAGGCAGCUGCGGAGCAUCUGAUGGAGCAACUGGUGAAUAGGAGGAGCAAAGACAACAUCUCUUGCGUCGCUGUAAACAUCCGCUGCUAUCAGAGCUUGAGUCAGUGAACAGGAGGAGCAAAGACAACAACUGCUCCGUCAUCAUAAACUUCCACUCUUGGCCGAGCUUAAACCUGCUAGCCACUUAUGCGUACAGUUAGUUAUAUGCCAGAUUGGUUUCACAAUUUUCUGUAGUUAUUCAUACGAUAUAGUGUUUAAUAUGGUUGGGAAUAAUCCACCACCCAAUGGGAUCAAGGUCUCUAAAAUAUUGUUGUUUGUUCAAAGGUUGUUUGUUUGGU